rnacentral:rRNA from 1 species
UAUUUUGGACAACGGGGGAAACCCUGAUCCAGCCAUCCCGCGUGUAUGAUGAAGGCCUUCGGGUUGUAAAGUACUUUUGGCAGAGAAGAAAAGUUACCUCCUAAUACGAGGUACUGCUGACGGUAUCUGCAGAAUAAGCACCGUCCAACAACGUGCUAGCAGCCGCGGUAAUACGUAGGGUGCAAGCGUUAACUGGAAUUACUGGGCGUAAAGCGUGUGUAGGCGGUUCGGAAAGAAAGAUGUGAAAUCCCAGGGCUCGACCUUGGAACUGCAUUUUUAACUGCCGAGCUAGAGUAUGUCAGAGGGGGGUAGAAUUCCACGUGUAGCAGUGAAAUGCGUAGAUAUGUGGAGGAAUACAGAUGGCGAAGGCAGCCCCCUGGGAUAAUACUGACGCUCAGACACGAAAGCGUGGGGAGCAAACA